UCGAGAAUCUUCCGCAAUGGGCGCAAGCCUGACGGAGCGACGCCGCGUGCGGGAUGAAGGCCUUCGGGUUGUAAACCGCUGUCAGUUGGGAGGAAAUGCUAUGGGGCACUCUCCAUAGUUUGACCGAUCUUCAGAGGAAGUACGGGCUAAGUUCGUGCCAGCAGCCGCGGUAACACGAACCGUACGAACGUUAUUCGGAAUCACUGGGCUUAAAGAGUUCGUAGGCGGCCCUGCAGGUGAGGUGUGAAAUCCCACGGCUCAACCGUGGAACUGCGCUUCAAACCGCAGGGCUUGAGGGAGACAGAGGUGAGUGGAACUGAUGGUGGAGCGGUGAAAUGCGUUGAUAUCAUCAGGAACACCGGUGGCGAAAGCGGCUCACUGGGUCUCUUCUGACGCUGAGGAACGAAAGCUAGGGGAGCGAACGGGAUUAGAUACCCCCGUAGUCC
rnacentral:rRNA from 1 species